rnacentral:rRNA from 2 species
CUAUACAUGCAGUCGAGCGAAUGGAUUGAGAGCUUGCUCUCAAGAAGUUAGCGGCGGACGGGUGAGUAACACGUGGGUAACCUGCCCAUAAGACUGGGAUAACUCCGGGAAACCGGGGCUAAUACCGGAUAACAUUUUGAACUGCAUGGUUCGAAAUUGAAAGGCGGCUUCGGCUGUCACUUAUGGAUGGACCCGCGUCGCAUUAGCUAGUUGGUGAGGUAACGGCUCACCAAGGCAACGAUGCGUAGCCGACCUGAGAGGGUGAUCGGCCACACUGGGACUGAGACACGGCCCAGACUCCUACGGGAGGCAGCAGUAGGGAAUCUUCCGCAAUGGACGAAAGUCUGACGGAGCAACGCCGCGUGAGUGAUGAAGGCUUUCGGGUCGUAAAACUCUGUUGUUAGGGAAGAACAAGUGCUAGUUGAAUAAGCUGGCACCUUGACGGUACCUAACCAGAAAGCCACGGCUAACUACGUGCCAGCAGCCGCGGUAAUACGUAGGUGGCAAGCGUUAUCCGGAAUUAUUGGGCGUAAAGCGCGCGCAGGUGGUUUCUUAAGUCUGAUGUGAAAGCCCACGGCUCAACCGUGGAGGGUCAUUGGAAACUGGGAGACUUGAGUGCAGAAGAGGAAAGUGGAAUUCCAUGUGUAGCGGUGAAAUGCGUAGAGAUAUGGAGGAACACCAGUGGCGAAGGCGACUUUCUGGUCUGUAACUGACACUGA